CACCCUACAUCACAAUUUAUAGAAUUUUAAGGAAAUAACUUAAAAAACAUUUAUACGUGAUUGGUUUUCCUAACACUUUUACAAUUGUGAUUUCUCCUUUAUCAUAGCUCCAAAUUAGGUGAUUCAAAAUUAAUUGUUAUUAGAGAGAUUGGAGUUACACAGUAGAGUGAUCGGGAAGCGUCGAGUACUUCCUGUUUGAGUAUGACAGCUUCUGAGGUCAUACGAAAAGGAAUGGCUUUAGAAAGGUGAUUUGGUAUCCGUGUGAUCAACCUAAAGGUGGAAAGUAAAUGAAGGUUCCUUGAAGGUGAAGCUUGGGAAGUAGAUUCCUCUCAAGAUUUGUAUGUCUGAUGUACCGUGGUUUCACGGAAAUCUGUCCAAAGGAGAACGUGGAGAUUUUGAGCUGAAAUCGCAGAAGUGACCACCUACGGACCCCAUGACAGUCCGUCGUGACUGUGACGGUCCGUAGGGGUCAACCGUCGUGAGAAUAUAAUGGCUGCUGAAGGAAGUUGGGGAAUUCUGACCAAGUGUGGUACUACGCAAUCUCACGACCAAUCAUCAUAGUCACGAUGGUCCGUCGUGCACAUUCAUCAAGUCUAACAGAGAGUAGUCCCAGUACCCAACUUUAGAAGAUUCUAAGUGUCGUGGAAUGAAGCCCCUCGAUGGACUGUCGUGCUUGAAACGGUCCGUCACACCUAUCCGUCGAGGGUAAUAUAGAGUUGAUGAAGAAAGCAUCAAAGAUUUCUUCUAAGUAUGGAACGACGGAAGCCACAACGGUCUGUCAUGAAGGUCGUCGACUCGGAUACAUUUUUUGCAGAUUUUUCCUUAAAUAGAUUUCCCUCUUUCAUUAGGUUUUGUUUUAUUAUAAAUAGUUCGAAAAACCUCAUUUUGGGGUUAGACCUUUGGAUAUUUUUCAGUUUUAUUGUCUAAGUAUUGAACUCUAGAUUUUGGGGAUUUGAUAUUACUUUUACGGAAUCAAUUAUUGGUGUUUUGGUGUUUUA